AACGAACGCUGGCGGCAUGCCUAACACAUGCAAGUCGAACGAACCCUUCGGGGUUAGUGGCGCACGGGUGCGUAACGCGUGGGGAUCUGCCCUUUGCUUCGGAAUAACAGUUAGAAAUGACUGCUAAUACCGGAUGAUGUCGCAAGACCAAAGAUUUAUCGGCAAAGGAUGAACCCGCGUAGGAUUAGGUAGUUGGUGGGGUAAAGGCCUACCAAGCCGACGAUCCUUAGCUGGUCUGAGAGGAUGAUCAGCCACACUGGGACUGAGACACGGCCCAGACUCCUACGGGAGGCAGCAGUGGGGAAUAUUGGACAAAUGGGCGAAAGCCUGAUCCAGCAAUGCCGCGUGAGUGAUGAAGGCCUUAGGGUCGUAAAGCUCUUUUACCCGGGAUGAUAAUGACAGUACCGGGAGAAUAAGCUCCGGCUAACUCCGUG
rnacentral:rRNA from 1 species